CAUUUGUUAAUUCAUUUUAAUAUUUUCCUAACCAGAAACUGAAGCAAGGGUUGCUAAUAAAUGAAUUUUGGAAAAAAUGAUAUUAUUUGUCUGGCCUUUCUCACGUAUAAGAGUGGCCUCCCUUGAAGCCAGGUGCUCGUUGCCAGGCAAUAUUAUAGGUGGCGCCGCUGUCAACAUGUGCAUGUGAAAACGAAAGUAGAUUGUUUAUCUAGGAAUUAUUACAACAUUUUACCCUUCUACGUUGAAUUUUUAAGAUAUAAAAGUAUGAAUAUUGAGAUGAUUAUUUAGUUACCUUCAACUGGUCAGUGGCCAAAAGGGAGUAUUUCUGUGUGCCUUGAAGCAUUGAAUGCCCCAAAACAACCAGUAUGAUAAGAAGACCAGAGUAUACAGCUUCCCAAAAUGUUGAAAGACUAAGCUGUUUUUAGCUCACCUGAGCAAUGCUCAGGUGAGUUUUUCUGAUCGCUCGAUGUCCGUCGUCCGUCGUCUGUCGUCUGUCAACAUUUAGCUUGUGUAUGCGAUAGAGGCUGUAUUUUUCAAUUAAUCUUCAUGAAUAUUGGUCAGAAUGAUAACCUUGAUGAAAUCUAGGCCGAGUUCGAAAAUGGGUCAUCUCGGAUCAAAAACUAGGUCACUAGGUUAAAUCAAAGAAAAACCUUGUGUAUGCGAUAGAGGCUGUAUUUUUUAAUUAAUCUUCAUGAAUAUUGGUCAGAAUGAUAACCUUGAUGAAAUCUAGGCUGAGUUCGAAAAUGGGUCAUCUCGGGUCAAAAACUAGGUCACUAGGUCAAAUCAAUGAAAAACCUUGUGUAUGCGAUAGAGGCUGUAUUUUUCAAUUAUCUUCAUGAAUAUUGGUCAGAAUGAUUGCCUUGAUAAAAUCUAGUCCGAGUUCGAAAAUGGGUCAUCUCGGGUCAAAAACUAGGUCACUAGGUCAAAUCAAAGAAAAACCUUGUGUAUGCGAUAGAGGCUGUAUUUUUCAAUUAUUCUUCAUGACUAUUGGUCAGAAUGAUAACCUUGAUGAAAUCUAGACCGAGUUCGAAAAUGGGUCAUCUCGGGUCAAAAACUAGGUCACUAGGUCAAAUCAAAGAAAAACCUUGUGUAUGCGAUAGAGGCUGUAUUUUUCAAUUGAUCUUCAUGAAUUUUGGUCAGAAUGAUUGCCUUGAUGAAAUCUAGGCCGAGUUCAAAAAUGGGUCAUCUGGGGUCAAAAACUAGGUCACUAGGUCAAAUCAAAGAAAACCCUUGUGUAUGCGAUAGAGGCUGUAUUUUUCAAUUGAUCUUCAUGAAUUUUAGUCAGAAUGAUUACCUUGAUGAAAUCUAGGCCGAAUUCGAAAAUGGGUUAUCUGGGGUCAAAAACUAGGUCACUAGGUCAAAUCAAGGAAAAACCUUGUGUAUGCGAUAGAGGCUGUAUUUUUCAAUUGAUCUUCAUGAAUUUUAGUCGGAAUGAUAACCUUGAUGAAAUUUAGACCAAGUUCAAAAAUGGGUCAUCUGGGGUCAAAAACUAGGUUACUAGGUCAAAUCAAAGAAAAACCUUGUGUAUGCAAUAGAGGCUGUAUUUUUCAACUGAUCUUCAUGAAAUUUAGCCAGAAUAAUUACCUUGAUAAAAUCUAGGCCGAGUUCGAAAAUGGGUCAUCUGGGGUCAAGAACUAGAUCACUAGGUCAAAUCGAAGAAAAACCUUGUGUAUGCAAUAGAGGCUGUAUUUUUCAAUUGAUCUUCAUAAAAUUUGGUCAGAAUAAUUGCCUUGAUGAAAUCUAGGUCGAGUUUGAAUAUAGUUAUCUGAGGUCAAAAACUAGGUCACUAGGUCAAAUUAAAGAAAAAUCUUGUGUAUGAGAUAGAGACUGUUUUUUUUUCAAUUGAUUUUUAUGAAAUUUGGUCAGGAUGAUUGCCAUAAUGAAAUCUAGGUCGAAUUUGAAUAUGGGUCAUCUGAGGUCAAAAACUAGGCCACUUGGUCAAAUCAAAGAAAAAACUUGUGUAUGUGAUAGAGGCUGUAUUUUUCAAUUGAUCUUCAUGAAUUUUGGUCAGAAUGAUUGCCUUGAUAAAAUCUAGGUCGAGUUUGAACAUGGGUCAUCUAGGUCAAAAACUAGGUCAUAUCUAAGAAAAUGCUUGUUUUAUCACAAGAGACCAAUUUUUUGGUCCAAUCUUAAUGAAAAUUGGUCAGAAUAUUUGUUUCCAUGAAAUCACUAGGUCAAACAUGUUUUACACUGUUAUGGUGUGUUUCUUAGGUGAGCGACCUAGGGCCAUCUUGGCCCUCUUGUUCUAUGGACUUGUAAGUAUUUUGAAUGUUUGAUUUCUCUUUCUUUUAACCUUAUGAUUGAAUAUUUCAUUUCAAUUAGUCAUGACACUUUUUCUAGUAAUUUGCAUCUACAUUUCAACAUGUUUACACAUUUUGUUUACACAGAAAGAUAUUUUUUACUUCUUUCAUUCUAGGUAUACUAUCUAGGUUGAAAACAGCCACAGACAAUGAAUUUGGAGGUGCAUGCUGGAGCAUCAGAAAUUACAUACUUGGAAUGAAUAAUUGCACAAUACACAUUUACUGAGAAAUGACUAAUGUUUAUGUUAAAGUGCAAUAUCCAUAUUUGUAACAUUUACUUGGGGGUAAUAGUUACAAUGUUGAAAGAGACUACCAGUGUUACAUUUCAAUCUAAGUUACAGUGUGGAUGCUAAUUCUAAAUUCUUGAUAAUCAAGUGUUUUUAAUAACUUAUGAAUACUAAUUAUUUAUCAAACUGUUUAAUUUAUCACAUUCCUACAUCAUUAUUUUAUAUAAAAUGCUUGUAGUUAUAUAAUAUAUGUCAGGUUAAAUGGUAAUAAAUUUUGUUCCUGUGUAAA